rnacentral:rRNA from 1 species
AAAACAAAAAAUGGCAGUCGGACGAGAGACCCUUCGGGUCUCUAGUGGCGAACGGGUGAGUAACACGUAGGGAACCUCGCUCGCGCACCGGGAAUACGCUCUGGAAACGGAGAACAAAUCCCGAUGUACAGGAAGGAGGCAUCUUCUUUCUGUGAAACAUCCUUUAGGGGAUGGGGCGCGGAUGGACCUGCGGUGCAUUAGUUGGUUGGCGGGGUAAAGGCCCACCAAGACGAUGAUGCAUAGCCGGCCUGAGAGGGCGGACGGCCACAUUGGGACUGAGACACGGCCCAGACUCCUGCGGGAGGCAGCAGUAGGGAAUUUUCGUCAAUGGGCGCAAGCCUGAACGAGCCAUGCCGCGUGAGUGAAGAAGGCCUUCGGGUCGUAAAGCUCUGUUGCGGGGGAAAAAAGGCAGCAUCAGGAAAUGGGUGCGGACUGAUGGUGCCCCGCCAGAAAGUCACGGCUAACUACGUGCCAGCAGCCGCGGUAAUACGUAGGUGGCGAGCGUUAUCCGGAAUGAUUGGGCGUAAAGGGUGCGCAGGCGGUCCUGCAAGUCUGGAGUGAAACGCAUGAGCUCAACUCAUGCAUGGCUUUGGAAACUGGAGGACUGGAGAGCGGGAGAGGGCGGUGGAACUCCAUGUGUAGCGGUAAAAUGCGUAGAUAUAUGGAAGAACACCAGUGGCGAAGGCGGCCGCCUGGCCUGUUGCUGACGCUGAGGCACGAAAGCGUGGGGAGCAAAUAGGAUUAGAUACC